rnacentral:lncRNA from 1 species
AACUAAGAUACUGUUAAAAGAGUGGAAUAAAUGAAGAGGAGAGACAGAAGAACCAAAGAUGGGAAAAGGACUGGAAAAGAAAAAGAGACUAAAAGGAAGGGGCUGAAAACUUAAAAAAUUGGAUGAAAAUUAUGAAGAUAGUCUGACAUGAUAUAUUAAGAGCUCUGAAUGAUGCCUAGGGAUGUAGAAGAGGAGAAAAACACUUGAGUAAGUAAACAGAGUUUA